GAUGAACGCUGGCGGCGUGCCUAAUACUUGCAAGUCGAGCGAACAGAUGAGGAGCUUGCUCCUCUGACGUUAGCGGCGGACGGGUGAGUAACACGUGGAUAACCUACCUAUAAGACUGGGAUAACUUCGGGAAACCGGAGCUAAUACCGGAUAAUAUAUUGAACCGCAUGGUUCAAUAGUGAAAGACGGUUUUGCUGUCACUUAUAGAUGGAUCCGCGCCGCAUUAGCUAGUUGGUAAGGUAACGGCUUACCAAGGCAACGAUGCGUAGCCGACCUGAGAGGGUGAUCGGCCACACUGGAACUGAGACACGGUCCAGACUCCUACGGGAGGCAGCAGUAGGGAAUCUUCCGCAAUGGGCGAAAGCCUGACAGAGCAACGCCGCGUGAGUGAUGAAGGUCUUCGGAUCGUAAAACUCUGUUAUUAGGGAAGAACAAAUGUGUAAGUAACUAUGCACGUCUUGACGGUACCUAAUCAGAAAGCCACGGCUAACUACGUG
rnacentral:rRNA from 1 species